rnacentral:tRNA from 1 species
GCCCGGCUGGCUCAUUUGGUAGAGCGUGUGACUCUUGAUCUCAGGGUUGUGAGUUCAAGCCCUGCUUUGGGUG